UACGAAGGGGGCUAGCGUUGUUCGGAAUUACUGGGCGUAAAGGGCGCGUAGGCGGCCAGCACAAGUCAGUUGUGAAAUCUCCGGGCUUAACUCGGAAAGGUCAACUGAUACUGUGCGGCUAGAGUGCAGAAGGGGCAACUGGAAUUCUCGGUGUAGCGGUGAAAUGCGUAGAUAUCGAGAGGAACACCUGCGGCGAAGGCGGGUUGCUGGGCUGACACUGACGCUGAUGCGCGAAAGCCAGGGGAGCGAACGGG
rnacentral:rRNA from 1 species